AAUGAGACCAUGAUUUACUCUAUAUAGAUUGGCAGUGAUAGAUAGAUUGAAAGUGGUAGAUAGAUUGACAGCAGUAGAUAGAUUGACGGCGAUAGAUUAGCAGCAAUAGAUUAGCAGUAAUAGAUUAGCAGCAAUAGAUUAGCAGUGAUAGAUUAGCAGUGAUAGAGUAGCAGUGAUAGAUAGAUUGACAGCAGUAGAUAGAUUGACAGCAGUAGAUAGAUUGAUGAUGAUGAGUAGAUUGACAGUGAUGAGU
rnacentral:sRNA from 2 species